GAUAAAUUUCUCUCGUGCAAAAAUGUAACCUACGUUUGCAACAUUCGUAACAAAUGUCUUCCAAACCACAAUUUUCCGAUCGCGCGUGCCGAAACGUUGCGCAAAUAAUUUCGGCCAGUGCGAUGAAAUGAUAGAUUUGACUUUUGUAAAAUUUCUCGUCUGUCUGAAAGAACUGAUUGUUCUUAUUAUAGCGCAACUCCUUGAAACGACUGUGAAAUGCGUGCUGCCGGCGGUAAUCGCGCAACUAACGGGACCGAGAUAUUUACGAUGGACGCGAAAUGUUCUUUAGUCUCGCUAUCUUAUUUUGUGCGAAAUUCUCUAUAUGCAUGGCAUGAAUAAGGACAAAAAUGAAGAAACGUUAACUCCGACACUUUCGUUAUCAUUGUCGUGUAUAUUUAACGAUUCCCGUUUUUGCCCGCAUUCAUCUUGUGUGUUAUACGCGUGAACAUAUAUUACACCAUAUUAAUGUAACCAUUAAGAAAAUUAUGGAUCCAAUAGAUCAAGUUAUCGCUGAUAGCAGUUAAUGUUUGCGUUUUAUUUUUACUUACUCGGCACGAUAUUUCUGCUGCUGGACUCGUAUGCCGAAGCAACGAAAUUGCCUCCUGAGAGAUAUACGUAUAGCGUUUGCCAUUACCAUCAAGUGUAUUUACCGGAGGAAGCGAUGGCAUUGCAGACACGCGACAGAGGAAUGUUCUAUCUCUUGGAAGGCGUCGCAACACAUCGCCGGAAGAACGUGAUUCAUUUCAUAGUUGACAAAUAACUCGGCAAUAGUAAUAGAAAAACUAAAAGCUCCUAAAUAAACAAAUAAGAAGAAUAGCCUACAACGGUCAAACCUGGAUCAUAGUGCUUAUUAUAUAGUUAUGUGUGAUUUUUAUAUACUGCGUAUGUAGUGCCCCCCAAUAAUCGCGCGCUGAUAUACUAUUCAGAUAUAACGCAAACAUACUUAUCUCAGUAUUAUCACGAAUUAAAAUUGAAUAACAAUUUUAA